CGGGCGCGGCGGGGCGGGGCGGGGGCGGGGGCCGGCUGGGGACCCCGGGGCGGAGCCGAGCGCGGGCCGGGGCGGGGCGCACCGGGCCGGGUCCGAGGCGCCGAGCGGAGCUGCGGGGGCGGAGCGCCAACUCCAGCGGGAAGACGGAGACCGCGACGCGCUGGCGAAGCGCGCUGGAGCGAGGAAGAAAGGACACCCCGUCCGCAGCGCCACGGCACGCGCCAGUCGGGGUCCCCCGGGACGGGAGCGAGCGGCCAGGGCAGCUGAGCGCGGGAGGAGGCGGCCCGGCAGAGCCCCAGGAUGGCGUGUUGACUCUCCUCAGGGAUGUGGGCAGGGUGCUAGGCUCAGUGAGUUGUGACCGCAGGAGGUCUGGACCCCCCUGGCUCAGAGUGCUCCGAUCCACACACCUCUCCACCUGCAGUCUUCACCAUGGCAGCCCAGGAUGGAAACACCAGUUUUGCACCCAACGUCAAUCCAGCUCAAGAUCACACCUCCUCCCUCCCCUUCAACUUCAGCUAUGGUGAUUACGACCUCCCUCUGGACGAGGAGGAGGACAUGACCAAGACCCGGACCUUCUUCGCUGCCAAGAUCGUCAUCGGUGUGGCACUGGCAGGCAUCAUGCUGGUCUGCGGCAUUGGCAACUUUGUCUUCAUCGCUGCCCUCGCCCGCUACAAGAAGCUGCGCAACCUCACCAACCUGCUCAUCGCAAACCUGGCCAUCUCUGACUUCCUGGUGGCCAUCAUCUGCUGCCCCUUCGAGAUGGACUACUACGUGGUGCGCCAGCUCUCCUGGGAGCACGGCCAUGUGCUCUGUGCCUCUGUCAACUACCUGCGCACCGUCUCCCUCUACGUCUCCACCAAUGCCCUGCUGGCCAUCGCUAUCGACAGGUAUCUCGCCAUCGUUCACCCCUUGAAGCCACGGAUGAAUUAUCAAACGGCCUCCUUCCUGAUCGCUUUGGUCUGGUUGGUGUCCAUCCUCAUCGCCAUCCCGUCGGCCUACUUCACAACGGAGACGGUCCUGUUUAUCGUCAAGAGCCAGGAGAAGAUCUUCUGCGGCCAGGUCUGGCCGGUGGACCAGCAGCUCUACUACAAGUCCUACUUCCUGUUGAUCUUCGGCGUGGAGUUCGUGGGCCCCGUGGUGACCAUGACCCUGUGCUACGCCAGGGUCUCCCGCGAGCUCUGGUUCAAGGCCGUGCCAGGCUUCCAGACAGAGCAGAUCCGGAAGCGGCUGCGCUGCCGCAGAAAGACGGUGCUGGUGCUCAUGUGCAUCCUCACGGCCUACGUGCUGUGCUGGGCGCCUUUCUACGGCUUCACCAUCGUGCGCGACUUCUUCCCCGCCGUGUUCGUCAAGGAGAAGCACUACCUCACAGCCUUCUACGUGGUCGAGUGCAUCGCCAUGAGCAACAGCAUGAUCAACACCGUGUGCUUUGUAACGGUCAAGAACAACACCAUGAAAUACUUCAAGAGGAUGAUGCUGCUCCACUGGCGUCCCUCCCACCACGGGAGCAAGUCGAGCGCCGACCUGGACCUCAAGACCAGCGGCAUGCCGGCCACGGAAGAGGUGGACUGUAUCAGGCUGAAGUGACCUGCUGGUGUUCCUCAGCCCAAAACCCAAAAGCGACCACUCUGAGCACCAUCCACCCGUAACCAAGUUCACACUUGGCUGCCUAAAGGAAGGACAGCCGUGUUCCCCUCCUCACUGCCCUCAAGGAACUGGAUGCUUCUCAGUCCCGAAAGAUGGUGGGACUCAAGGCAGGUAACAGAAACUGACUUUGGCCUAGCUUCCUGUGUGCUGGCCACACCAGUGAGAUUGGCUGAGUCAACAGGAGCUGACAUUUACCCAUUUCCUACUGUGGGAGAAAAUUAAAUAACAAGAAAAAUGGCAGUAGCUAUUGGAAUCGCCAAGCGAUGGCCAGUCAAGGGCCUCUGAUGGUUAUCUGCACUCACUCUCCAUCUCCCUGCUCUCACUCUGUAUCUUAUCAAUGCAGGAAGGUCAAGAGGUGAGAGAAUAAGCCAGUUAGGUAUGACAGAAACAUAAGGCGGAAACAUAAACAUCAGAGUGUGGGGUUUACUGCCUCAUGGGAAGAGGACUCAUGCCAUCACAUUGAACUUUCCCACUCGGCUCCCCCCACCUCCGAAGGAUAGUUUCUAGGAUUCUGGCUACGAGAAAAAAUAUUUUCUCAUAACCAGGGCAUUGGUUAUGUACAAUGUUGUAAUUUCAAAGGAAAGGACCAAGAUAUCUCUUUUCCACUGAUGCUUUGAGAACUCAUUUUUUUGGGUGAAGACAUGUGGUCCUGAAAUGAGGAAUACAUCCAGUCCCUGACACCUGAGCGUAAAGGAUUUUGGGGCUGUAAUGUCAGGGAGGCUGGGGACAGAGGAAGGGGUGGAGCUUGCCACUGGUAAUAAACGUAAUCUAUAUGGCUGAGGUCUUUUUUUU
rnacentral:lncRNA from 12 species